rnacentral:antisense_RNA from 1 species
CCUGGCAUGACUGCUUCUAACAGUGACCAUUUCAUUAAGUUUUUAAGUGCCUGGUAAUUGCUUGGUUAUGACCGGUGUCUGCUCCAUGGCAGCCUCUUCCUGAAGAAAUGCUGAGGCAGUGUCACGCUGGUGUCUGUCCUCCUUACAGAAUGCCUGAACAGUUCCAUUGACUCAAAGUGAAGAUCAAAAGAACCAAAGGACAGCAAUAGCCAAGUGUAAUCAUCAGUAACCCUGUGUUCUAUCCACAG